rnacentral:rRNA from 1 species
CCCAAUGACAAAUUAAGUUAAAUAGCUGCAGUAUAUUGCCUGUACAAAGGUAGCAUAAUAACUAGUUUCUUAAUUAGGAACUUGAAUGAAUGGAUAAAUGAAUUAUUAUCUUUAUUUAUUUUAUUAUUAAAAUUUUAUUUUUUGGUUAAAAAGCUAAUAUUUUUCUUAGGGACGAUAAGACCCUAUAGAACUUUAAAAUUAAUAUUAUUAGUAUUUUAUAGAAAUUUGUUUUAUAAUUGUUUAGGUUUUUUAGUUGGGGUGAUUAAUAAAUUUAUUAGACUUUAUUUAAUUAUUUCAUUUGUAUAUGUUUAUUUUGAUCCAGUAUCUGANUAUAAGAUAAGUUACCU